rnacentral:rRNA from 1 species
GACAGAGGGUGCAAACGUUGUUCGGAAUUACUGGGCGUAAAGCGCGUGUAGGCGGUUUCGUAAGUCGGAUGUGAAAGCCCCGGGCUCAACUCGGGAAGUGCACUCGAUACUGCGAGGCUAGAGUAUCGGAGAGGUUGGUGGAAUUCUCGGUGUAGAGGUGAAAUUCGUAGAUAUCGAGAGGAACACCGGUGGCGAAGGCGGCCAACUGGACGAAUACUGACGCUGAGACUCGAAAGCGUGGGUAGCAAACGGG